GCCCCGUCUGGGAGGGAGGUGGGGUCAGCCCCCCGCCCGGCCAGCCGCCCCGUCCGGGAGGUGAGGGGCGCCUCUGCCCAGCCGCCCCUACUGGGAAGUGAGGAGCCCCUCUGCCGGGCCAGCCACCCCGUCCGGGAGGGAGGUGGGGGGCUCAGCCCCCCGCCCGGCCAGCCGACCCGUCCGGGAGGGAGGUGGGGGGUCAGCCCCCCGCCCGGCCAGCCGCCCCGUCCGGGAGGUGAGGGGCACCUCUGCCCGGCCGCCCCUACUGGGAAGUGAGGAGCCCCUCUGCCCAGCCAGCCGCCCCGUCCGGGAGGGAGGUGGGGGGGUCAGCCCCCCGCCCGGCCAGCCGCCCCGUCCGGGAGGGAGGUGGGGGGGUCAGCCCCCAGCCCGGCCAGCCGCCCUGUCCGGGAGGUGAGGGGCGCCUCUGCCCAGCCGCCCCUACUGGGAAGUGAGGAGCCCCUCUGCCCAGCCAGCCGCCCCGUCCGGGAGGGAGGUGGGGGGGUCAGCCCCCCGCCCGGCCAGCCGCCCCGUCCGGGAGGUGAGGGGCGCCUCUGCCCGGCCACCCCUACUGGGAAGUGAGGAGCCCCUCUGCCCAGCCACCACCUCGUCUGGGAGGUGUACCCAACAGCUCAUUGAGAACGGGCCGGGAUGACAAUGGCGGUUUUGUGGAAUAGAAAGGGGGGAAAGGUGGGGAAAAGAUUGAGAAAUCGGAUGGUUGCCGUGUCUGUGUAGAAAAAAGUAGACAUGGGAGACUUUUCAUUUUGUUCUGUACUAAGAUAAAUUCUUCUGCCUUGGGAUCCUGUUGAUCGGUGACCUUACCCCCAACCCUGUGCUCUCUGAAACAUGUGCUGUGUCCACUCAGGGUUAAAUGGAUUAAGGGAGGUGCAAGAUGUGCUUUGUUAAACAGAUGCUUGAAGGCAGCAUGCUCGUUAAGAAUCAUCACCACUCCCUAAUCUCAAGUACCCAGGGACACAAACACUGCGGAAGGCCGCAGGGUCCUCUGCCUAGGAAAACCAGAGACCUUUGUUCACUUGUUUAUCUGCCAACCUUCCCUCCACUAUUGUCCUAUGACCCUGCCAAAUCCCCCUCUGCGAGAAACACCCAAGAAUGAUCAAUAAAAAAAAUAAAAAUUAAAAAAAAAAGUUAAAAAAUAUAUAUAUAUAACUAAUUAAUUUUAACAGACAAAUGAUAAUUGUGCAUAUUCAUGGGGUACAUAGUGAUGUUUCAGUACAUACAAUGUAUAGCGAUCAGAUCAGUGUAAUUAGCAUGGCCAUCCUCUCAAACAUUUAUAAUUUCUUUGUGUUAGGAACUUUUACCAUCCUCCUUCUAGCUAUUUGAAACUCUGUAAUGUAUGAUUGUUAAUUAUAGUCAUCCUCCAGUGCUGUAGAACACUAGAACUUGUUCCUCCUAUCUAGCUGUGAUUUUGUUUCAUUUAACAAAUCUCUCCCUAUCCCUCCCUUCCUCCAACUUUGUUUUACCUCUUCUCUUCUUUAUUCACCUCCACUCUCAUGACCAUCUUUGAAAUCAACCAAAUAUGGAACUUAAAUACAGCAUUUUAGAUAUUCAUAUUUGUAGAAAAUAAUUUUAUACUUGCAGCUCUUAAUUUUAAAAGCAUAUAAGUUUGCAUAUCUCUUUCUUAAAAGAGAAUUCAAGGCCAACAACUUAAAUUUUACUUCUGACAGGAUUUUUUAUUGUUUUCUAUAGGUCAGUGAGCCUGAAUAGACAAAAUAUUUCCUAGCAAAGCCCUCAUAUUUAAUAUUAUGUGAAUUUAAAGUUUUUAAAUCAUAAUUGUAAAAUAAAUAUUUAAUAACUCCUUUACAGAUAGAC
rnacentral:lncRNA from 1 species